rnacentral:rRNA from 1 species
GAUUCGGGAAGGGGGUUCAUUUUCUGCCACCGAAUACAUUAGCAUGGGAUAAUGGAAUAGGACCCUGUCCUCCUAUUUUCAGUUGGUUUUGGCAGCGCGAGGACUAGGGUAAUGAUUAAUAGGGAUAGUUGGGGGCAUUAAUAUUUAAUUGUCAGAGGUGAAAUUCUUGGAUUUAUGAAAGAUUAACUUCUGCGAAAGCAUCUGCCAAGGAUGUUUUCAUUAAUCAAGAACGAAAGUUAGGGGAUCGAAGACGAUCAGAUACCGUCGUAGUCUUAACCAUAAACGAUGCCGACCAGCGAUUAGGAGACGUUGAAUACAAAACACCACCAUCGGCGCGGUCGUCCUUGGCCUGCGUCUCGUUUCGGCGAGGCGUUGGCGGGGGCGGCUUAGCCCGGUGGCACCGGUGAAUGACUCCCUAGCACCUUGGUGAGAA